UAGGGAAUAUUAGAAAUGGACGCAAGUCUGAUCUAGCAACACCGCGUGUGUGAAGAAGGCCUUCUGGUUGUAAAGCACUUUUUGGAAGGAUUAGGAAGGAAUGUACUUCCAGAAUAAGUCUCGGCUAACUACGUGCCAGCAGCCGCGGUAACACGUAGGAGGCAAACGUUAUCCGGAUUUACUGGGCGUAAAGCGCGUGUAGGUGGUUCUGUAAGUAGGGCGUGAAAGCUCCUGGCUCAACUGGGAGAGGCCGUUCUAAACUGCAGAGCUAGAGGAUGGUAGAGGGAGGUGGAAUUCCGGGUGUAGCGGUGGAAUGCGCAGAUAUCCGGAGGAACACCAGUGGCGAAAGCGGCCUCCUGGACCAUUCCUGACACUCAGACGCGAAAGCUAGGGUAGCAAACGG
rnacentral:rRNA from 1 species